UGCCGAGCAACUGCUAUCCCUACUUCCGCGUGGUACUGGCUGGAAACUGCGAGUAACCUAAGGGAAGAUCGGGUAGCCAACCCCGGUGGGAACUUUGGUCGUAUGCUGACAGGGAAGG
rnacentral:ribozyme from 1 species